UACAGAGGUCUCAAGCGUUGUUCGGAUUUACUGGGCGUAAAGGGCGCGUAGGCGGCCUCUGCAAGUCGACUGUGAAAUCUCCGGGCUUAACCCGGAAAGGUCAGCCGAUACUGCAGGGCUAGAGUGCAGAAGGGGCAACUGGAAUUCUCGGUGUAGCGGUGAAAUGCGUAGAUAUCGAGAGGAACACCUGCGGCGAAGGCGGGUUGCUGGGCUGACACUGACGCUGAGGCGCGAAAGCUAGGGGAGCGAACGGG
rnacentral:rRNA from 1 species